UACAAAAAAACAAGAUGUGUAUGAUUGCCAAUGAGACAACUCUCCACAAGAGACCAAAAUGACACAGACAUUAACAACUAUGGUCAUACAACUUUACCCAGAACUUCAGGGCCUACUUCGAUUCGUCCAACUCAGGUAACCCGAGUUACCCGAUUUGCAAUCGAAGUACCCGAGUUUUAUCAUUUCCCAACCCUCGAGUUAACUCGAUAUCAACCCUGCCCCUG
rnacentral:lncRNA from 1 species